CGAUCCUGCCUCGGUGGAGAGCGGGGAGGGGGAGAAACAAACACAGCACCACGACACCCCCCCCCCCCCCCCCCCGCCCCCCCUCCUCCUGCCCUUUUGGGGAGAAAAACUGGGAAAACGGUUAAAAAUCUCCCCCUCCCUCCCUAGGGCCGAAAGGUCCGAGCCCCGCCUUUACCAAAAAGCCACGUUUUCCACUCAAAAUCCCACUGAAGGGACCCGGCCGAGCGCUGCUGCCGGAAGGGCCUGGCGCCGGCCGCUCAUUUUGGGGCACUUUGGGCCUUUUUUUAUGCUUUUGGUUUUUUUGCUUCCGAAUUUGUGAAUCCGGAGGGGAAAACCAAGCAAAAUUGGGGCUAAAUCGGUAAAAAAAUAAUAAAAACCAACACACCCUCCCUGGGCGAAAAAAACCACCACCGCCACCUGGAUCCUCGCGGCGCUCCGUGCCCCCGUUUUGGGUGAAAACCACCCGAAAUACCUAUUUUCUGCCUUUCCUACACGUUUUUGGGAGGUUUUGCUGCCGGGCUCUGCCUUUUUCGGGUCGGGCGUCCUCGCGCUGCCUCGUUUUUGGGGCAUUUUCCUGCGGAUCUCACUGAGCUGCGCGGAGAAGCCGGGGCCAGCGCCCAGCAGACCCCUUUUUUGGCCUUUUUUCCCCCAAAAAGGCGGCGGGGGUCGGGGCGCCCCCUCCUCAUCUUUACUUAGCGCUGGCCCAGAAGCUGCGGCUCGGGCGCCGUGGCUGCACCUGCGAGACAGAGCCCCCCCCGUCAGCCCCCGUUUGGGGUGAAAGCGCCGCGUUUGGGGAUUUUUGUGUUUUUUGGUGGUUUUUUUUUGUCCGAAUCCGGCUUUUUUUGCAUCCCUCCGCGCCGGUUUUGGGGUGGGGGUGGGUGGGGGGUCCCGGCGCGCCCCGGCUCCUCCCGGCACAACCGCCCGCCGCGCCCCCGACCGCCGCCACCUCCAAAACGGCCGGAAAUCGCCCCAAAAUCCGUGCCCCUCCCUCCGCCGCCGCCCCCCAAAACCUUCUAUUCUACCCCAAACUGUCUCAAUCUGCCCCAAACCACCCAAAAUGAGUCCCCGAGUGCCUCAAACCAUCCUGAUCUGCCCCAAAGCGCCCUGAACGGGUCCCAGUCUGCCCCCAAAACAGCCCCAAACCGCUCUGAAUUAGCCCCAAACCACCCCUCGCAGCCCCAAAUUGCUCUGAAUUAGCCCCAAAACAGCCCCAAAAGGCCACGAAUUAGUCCCAAUCUGCCCCCAAAUAGCACCAAACCACCCCGAUAUGCCCCAAAUUAGUCCCAAUCUGCCCCAAAAUUGCCCCGAACUGCCCCUAUUUGCCCCAAAUCAGUCCCAAUCCACCCCAAAUCACCCCAGUUUGCCGUUAGUCCCAAUCCGCCCCAAAACUGCCCUAAACC
rnacentral:lncRNA from 1 species